GACGAACGCUGGCGGCGUGCUUAACACAUGCAAGUCGAACGCUGAAGACCUGGCUUUUGUUGGGUUGGAUGAGUGGCGAACGGGUGAGUAACACGUGAGUAACCUGUCCUCUUCUUUGGGAUAACGCCCGGAAACGGGUGCUAAUACUGGAUAUUUACUGAUCUUCGCAUGGGGGUUGGUGGAAAGGUUUGUUCUGGUGGGGGAUGGGCUCGCGGCCUAUCAGCUUGUUGGUGGGGUGAUGGCCUACCAAGGCUUUGACGGGUAGCCGGCCUGAGAGGGUGACCGGUCACAUUGGGACUGAGAUACGGCCCAGACUCCUACGGGAGGCAGCAGUGGGGAAUAGUGCACAAUGGGCGAAAGCCUGAUGCAGCGACGCCGCGUGAGGGAUGGAGGCCUUCGGGUUGUAAACCUCUUUCGCUCAUGGUCAAGCCGCAACUGUGGGUUGUGGUGAGGGUAGUGGGUAAAGAAGCGCCGGCUAACUACGUG
rnacentral:rRNA from 1 species